AAAUAAACUCACAUAUUCACUCAAAAUCAAAAUCUCUUUCCCCCAAUGCACGAACCCUAAUCUCACUUUUCUCAACCCCGAUUUUUUUUUAACAUCUUGAAGAACCAGAACAUCUCUUAACCAAAUCACCAACAUUAUUAGCAAUUCGGAACCGAACAUCGCGUCUCCGAGUCCAUCCGUUGGAGCUCAGAUCCCAUCUCCUUCUCUGUUGGAACAACAAACACUGAGUCAGCAACUCGGUCAGACUCGGCAAGUCUCUUCUUCGAUUCCGCAACAUUUAAGUUUGCAGCAAAUGCCAAUGUUGAAUUAUCACAUAGCUCAGCGAUCCCCUUCUGUUUCUCGCACGAUCCAAGUUCAGCAGCAUCAAGGUCAAUACGGCAACGUUUUGGAGCAGCAAGCUGGGAUGUACGGAGCGAUUAAAUUUGGUGAUUCAAGUUCUGUUCAACAAAACAUAUCGAGGGCAGCUUUGCUUGGCCAAAGCGGACACUUGCCAAUACAUAUAACACUGCAGCUGGAGCCGCAGCCUAGUUAUUGGCAGCUUCCUCGCCAAGGCAGCAGUCUGGCCUAGUCGAAGGCUCUCAGUGUCAUCCGGGAAGUUAUGGACAACAGUUACAGGGGAUGCGAGUGAUGGAAUCAUUGAAUUUGAGCUCGCAAAUGAGAGCUAACCCUGCUCUCUAUGCUCAGCAGCUAAGCAAUCCGGGGCAAAUUAUACAAUAAUCGUCACAGCAAGAUGCUCUUUCUUUGCCUCAGGUAUGAGUUUAAAAAAUCUCAGUAGCUUGACUGAAUUUUUUUGUAAUCCUCUGUUUAGGUCCAAAACCUCCAGUGAACACAUUUAAAGUUCUUGAAGGUUCCGUGAUGUGUUUCUCUGCGAUGGUGUUGAUGAUAAAAACUUUCGGAAGCUGUAGGUCUUUGCCUGGUGCAACAAGGUUUGAGGGUGCCCCGGGAGCUCGCGAUAACCUGAGGCUUAGUCCGCUCAUACCUCCCCUCUGGACCAUCGAUGUUACGCUACCUCCGGUUCAUCUCGACGACCAUUCUUCUUUGUAAUAGUUUCUGCAUUUUUCUUAUAAGAUGCUCUGUUUAGGUUUUAUUUCCGUUUCUCUGCUACUAGUCUUCUUCGUCUUUCUGUAAAAAACAAAAACUUGGUAUAAUCAAUUUAACAUUUUACCAAAAAAAAAAAGUUCUCAAAGGUUUAACA